rnacentral:rRNA from 1 species
AGAUUGAACGCUGGCGGCAUGCCUUACACAUGCAAGUCGAACGGCAGCACGGGAGCAAUCCUGGUGGCGAGUGGCGAACGGGUGAGUAAUAUAUCGGAACGUGCCCAGUCGUGGGGGAUAACGUAGAGAAAUUUACGCUAAUACCGCAUACGAUCCAAGGAUGAAAGCGGGGGACCGUAAGGCCUCGCGCGACUGGAGCGGCUGAUAUCAGAUUAGCUUGUUGGUGAGGUAAAAGCUCACCAAGGCGACGAUCUGUAGCUGGUUUGAGAGAACGACCAGCCACACUGGGACUGAGACACGGCCCAGACUCCUACGGGAGGCAGCAGUGGGAAUUUUGGACAAUGGGCGAAAGCCUGAUCCAGCAAUGCCGCGUGCAGGAAGAAGGCCUUCGGUUGUAAACGUGCUUUUGUACGGAGCGAAAAGGUCUGCCUAAUACGGCGACCAUGACGGUACCGUAAGAAUAAGCACCGGCUAACUACGUGCCAGCAGACCCG